rnacentral:rRNA from 1 species
CCUACGGGUGGCAGCAGUGAGGAAUAUUGCGCAAUGGGCGAAAGCCUGACGCAGCAACGCCGCGUGGGUGAUGAAGGCCUUCGGGUCAUAAAGCUCUGUCAGAGGGGAAGAAAUGCAGGUGGUGAACAACCAUUCUGUUUGACGGUACCCUCAAAGGAAGCACCGGCUAACUCCGUGCCAGCAGCCGCGGUAAUACGGAGGGUGCGAGCGUUGUUCGGAAUUAUUGGGCGUAAAGCGCGUGUAGGCGGUUUGUUAAGUUGGAUGUGAAAGCCCCGGGCUCAACCGGGGAAGUGCAUUGGAUACUGGCAGACUUGAGUACGGGAGAGGAGAGUGGAAUUCCCAGUGUAGGAGUGAAAUCCGUAGAUAUUGGGAGGAACACCGGUGGCGAAGGCGGCUCUCUGGACCGAUACUGACGCUGAGACGCGAAAGCGUGGGGAGCAAACGGGAUUAGAUACCCGGGUAGU